rnacentral:lncRNA from 1 species
UAAUUUCCAUCAAGCUUCUAAAUCAUGAUGCCCUUUGAAUAUUUCAAUUAUGAAUAAAACGCUGAUGGCAAAACUGUAAAUAAGGGUGAACUUUCGGGUUUGGUGUGGCUGGCAGUUGGUGGCCAUGAAUUGGUGUGGUGAUGGUCGGAUCUAGAAGAUAUAGUGGUGAGGAGCACAAUGGUGGCUGAGUAUUGGCUGGAUUCGAGGUAAUUUGGUUGAAAAACUGACUUGAAAUAGUGGCGGCUUCUAGUGGUUUAUGGUAGUUUAUGGCCGGCAUUUGGUGACGAUUGGUGAUUGGUUUUGGAUGUGUGGCGGCCGAUGGUAAAGGGCAAUGGUUUCGUAGCUGCAAGUGGCUGGAGAGCUGGCGGGUUUUGGGUGAUUCACGGCAGCUGCACAGUUAGUUCAUGCGGAGCUGGUCGAGUUUUGAACAAUGGAGGUUGGCGAAUUUGGUGGUGUUGUUGGCUAACGGCGGUGGAUUUAGUGGUGGAGCCACAGGUUUAGGUGCUUUCGUGUGGUGGUUCUGGUGGUGGGAAUCCUGUUUGAUAGUUGGGAUUUGGAUGCUAGAAGAAGGUGAUUCAGCUAGUUGCAGCAGCAGGUGUCGUCGAUUGCUAGAUUGUAGAGGAGUGACAGUUGGGUGUGGCGGCGAGGGUUUCAAAAUUUGGGGAUUCUUGAGUUUUUUAUUUUUUACUUUUUUGGGUAAACAGUGAAGAAGCUUGGGUUGAUGGAUUUGGAUAGAUGGAUAUGGUGGCUAGGGAAGUUGUGCAAAUUGCACAUAUCUCUCUGACAUCAACUGACGGAGG